rnacentral:rRNA from 1 species
GACGAACGCUGGCGGCGUGCUUAACACAUGCAAGUCGAACGGAAAGGCCCUGCCUUUGUGGGGUGCUCGAGUGGCGAACGGGUGAGUAACACGUGAGUAACCUGCCCUUGACUUUGGGAUAACUUCAGGAAACUGGGGCUAAUACCGGAUAGGCGCUCCUGCUGCAUGGUGGGGGUUGGAAAGUUUCGGCGGUUGGGGAUGGACUCGCGGCUUAUCAGCUUGUUGGUGGGGUAGUGGCUUACCAAGGCUUUGACGGGUAGCCGGCCUGAGAGGGUGAACGGCCACAUUGAGACAGAGAGGCGGCCCAGACGCCUACGGGAGAAAGCAGGGGAGAAUAUUGCACAAGGGGCGGGAGCCUGAUGCAGCAACGCCGCGUGCGAGAUGACGGCCUUCGGGUUGAAAAGCGCUUUCGCCUGAGACGAAGCGUGAGUGGCGGUAAUGAGAAAAGAAGCAGCGUCUAACUGCG